rnacentral:rRNA from 1 species
UACGGGGGGGGCAAGCGUUGUUCGGAAUUACUGGGCGUAAAGGGCUCGUAGGUGGCCAACUAAGUCAGACGUGAAAUCCCUCGGCUUAACCGGGGAACUGCGUCUGAUACUGAUGGCUUGAGGUUCGGGAGGAGGAUGCGGAAUUCCAGGUGUAGCGGUGAAAUGCGUAGAUAUCUGGAGGAACACCGGUGGCGAAGGCGGCAUCCUGGAC